rnacentral:rRNA from 1 species
UACGUAGGGUGCGAGCGUUGUCCGGAAUUAUUGGGCGUAAAGAGCUUGUAGGUGGCUCGUUGCGUCGGGAGUGAAAACCUGCGGCUUAACCGCAGGCCUGCUUCCGAUACGGGCGAGCUAGAGUUCGGCAGGGGAGACUGGAAUUCCUGGUGUAGCGGUGGAAUGCGCAGAUAUCAGGAGGAACACCGGUGGCGAAGGCGGGUCUCUGGGCCGAUACUGACACUGGAGAAGCGAAAGCGUGGGGAGCGAACAGG